UACAGAGGUCUCAAGCGUUGUUCGGAUUCAUUGGGCGUAAAGGGUGCGUAGGUGGCGAGGUAAGUCGGAUGUGAAAGCUCGGAGCUCAACUCCGAAAUGGCAUUGGAAACUACCUUGCUCGAGGGUUGGAGGGGGGACUGGAAUGCUUGGUGUAGCAGUGAAAUGCGUAGAUAUCAAGCGGAACAUCAGUGGCGAAGGCGAGUCCCUGGACAACUCCUGACACUGAGGCACGAAAGCUAGGGGAGCAAACAGG
rnacentral:rRNA from 1 species